GUCGAUUCGAGAGGCACACCAACACCAGCAGAUGAGUCUCCGUUUAAUACUUGGGAUAUUAUAACAGUAAGUUAUAGCUCCAGAAGUCAGUCACCAGCAGCAGAUGUCACACAGUUAUAAAAUGGGAAACUUGUAGAAUAAGCUCCAGAAGUCAGCAGCAGCAGACGUCACACAGCUAUAAUGUGAGAAGCUUGAAGAAUAAUGUGGUAGUGGUUUGGAUACAUAUGACAUAUUUCAACUUCAGUUUAAAAUUGAAGUUUGUAUAUAUUGGCAGGUGGUAACUCGGAGGUCUUUGUUCCAGUUAUGGCUCCGAUAGUCUUCCAGCAGCAGCAAAUGUUACACAGUCCUAUAGCGGUAAACUUGAAGUACAAGAUAACUACUCAUAUAUGCAGCAACUGCUGAAGCAGCCUCUGGCAGUUUAUUGAAGUUCCGUGAACAAAGUGUUGUGUGGUCUGUUUGUGUAAAGUGAUAAAGAACAAUGUUAAAGUGUAAUUGCAUAUGUAAUUGUGUAUAUAUUUAAUCAUUAUUUUUGCUAGUUGUAAGAUCUAUUUUCAUGUAAAUCAGAACAUUGUAUAAUAGGUAACAACCGAAUGAGGCAGUGUAGCUAUUAACAGCACUGACCUCAUAUUCGGGAGGAUGGGGUUCGCUCUGUCUGGCCAUCCUGAUUCGGGUUUUCCAGGAUCGCUAGGGCAAAUGCCGGGAUGGUUCCUUCAUCAAGGCCAUGGCUGACCACCUGUCCUGCCCUUAAAGAGAUCCUUUAAACAUUGUGUGUAUACCCAUAUUUUGAAUUAUUGAUGUUUUUUGUGUUACGUUGAGAUAUUCUUGGAUGAAAUAAAAAAGUUUAUACAUUUGUAUUUGUGGUCACAUGUUAAAUUACUGAGAAAAUUGCAGAGUGGUUAUGGCACCGAAUUUCCAUUCAGGUGCAUUGGGAUCCUUCGCCUGUUUGAACAUCCUGAUUUACAUUUUGUGGGUUCCCUAAAUUCCUUUAGGCAAAUACUUUUGUUGGUUCCACUGAAUAGGCCAUGGCAGAUUACCUGCCAUUUCCAAUCUGAGUUUCUGCUCAG